rnacentral:rRNA from 1 species
GGCCGCGGGAAUUCGAUUGGAUCGCCCUUAGAGUUUGAUCAUGGCUCAGAACGAACGCUGGCGGCGUGCCUAACACAUGCAAGUCGUACGUGAAAGGGGUUUCGGCCCUGAGUAAAGUGGCGCACGGGUGAGUAACACGUGGAUAAUCUACCCGAUGAUUGGGGAUAACAUUCCGAAAGGAAUGCUAAUACCGGAUAAGCCCACGUAUCCUUUGGGGUAUGCGGGAAAAGGUGGGGACCUUCGGGCCUACCGUCAUCGGAUGAGUCCGCGUCCCAUUAGCUAGUUGGUGGGGUAAUGGCCUACCAAGGCGACGAUGGGUAGCUGGUCUGAGAGGAUGAUCAGCCACACUGGAACUGAGACACGGUCCAGACUCCUACGGGAGGCAGCAGUGGGGAAUUUUGCGCAAUGGGCGAGAGCCUGACGCAGCAACGCCGCGUGAGUGAUGAAGGCCUUCGGGUCGUAAAGCUCUGUCAGAGGGAAAGAACAACCUGUCGGUCAAUACCCGGCAGGCCUGACGGUACCCUCAAAGGAAGCACCGGCUAACUCCGUGCCAGCAGCCGCGGUAAUACGGAGGGUGCGAGCGUUAUUCGGAAUUAUUGGGCGUAAAGCGCGUGUAGGCGGUUGUUUAAGUCUGAUGUGAAAGCCCCGGGCUUAACUUGGGAAGUGCAUUGGAAACUGGGCAACUUGAGUACGGGAGAGGGUAGUGGAAUUCCGAGUGUAGGGGUGAAAUCCGUAGAUAUUCGGAGGAACACCGGUGGCGAAGGCG